rnacentral:rRNA from 1 species
UACGUAGGGUGCGAGCGUUAAUCGGAAUUACUGGGCGUAAAGCGUGCGCAGGCGGUUCGUUGUGUCGGCGGUGAAAGCCCCGGGCUUAACCUGGGAAUGGCCGUCGAAACUGGCGAACUGGAGUGUGGCAGAGGGGGGUGGAAUUCCGCGUGUAGCAGUGAAAUGCGUAGAGAUGCGGAGGAACACCGAUGGCGAAGGCAGCCCCCUGGGCUGACACUGACGCUCAGGCACGAAAGCGUGGUGAGCAAACAGG